rnacentral:rRNA from 1 species
ACUAGUAACGGCCGCCAGUGUGCUGGAAUUCGGCUUUAAUCCGACCUAGGCUCAUCUGAUAGCGUGAGGUCCGAAGAUCCCCCACUUUCUCCCGUAGGACGUAUGCGGUAUUAGCGUCCCUUUCGAGACGUUGUCCCCCACUACCAGGCAGAUUCCUAGGCAUUACUCACCCGUCCGCCGCUGAAUUCAGGAGCAAGCUCCUGUCAUCCGCCCGACUUGCAUGUGUUAAGCACGCCGCCAGCGUUCAAUCUGAGCCAGGAUCAAACUCUAAGCCGAAUUCUGCAGAUAUCCAUCACACUGGCGGCCGCUCGAGC